rnacentral:rRNA from 1 species
AACGAAAGUUAGAGGUUCGAAGGCGAUCAGAUACCGCCCUAGUUCUAACCAUAAAACGAUGCCAGCUAGCGAUCCGAGGGCGCAGAUUGUAGGCCCCUCGGGAAGCUUCCGGGAAACCAAAGCUCUCGGGUUCCGGGGGAAGUAUGGUUGCAAAGCUGAAACUUAAAGGAAUUGACGGAAGGGCACCACCAGGAGUGGAGCCUGCGGCUUAAUUUGACUCAACACGGGAAAUCUCACCAGGCCCGGACACUGGAAGGAUUGACAGAUUGAGAGCUCUUUCUCGAUUCGGUGGGUGGUGGUGCAUGGCCGUUCUUAGUUGGUGGAGUGAUUUGUCUGGUUAAUUCCGAUAACGAACGAGACUCUGUCCUGCUAAAUAGUCCGAGCGUCUCUCGCUGCGCUCGGAGUUCUUCUUAGAGGGACUGGUGGCGUCUAGCCGCACGAGAUUGAGCAAUAACAGGUCUGUGAUGCCCUUAGAUGUUCUGGGCUGCACGCGCGCUACACUGAAGGGAUCAACGCGUCUUCCCUUUCCGAGAGGAACGGGUAACCUCUUGAAUCCCCUUCGUGGUAGGGAUCGGGGCUUGCAAUUAUUCCCCGUGAACCAGGAAUUCCUAGUAGACGCGAGUCAUAAGCUCGCAUCGAUUAAGUCCCUGCCCUUUGUACACACCGCCCGUCGCUACUACCGAUUGAAUGGUU